rnacentral:lncRNA from 1 species
GUAACCUUGGCAGCACGGGCUUCUGAUACUUCCCAUCUCACCUCCUUUUGAUUCACCUACUAGAGGUUGAUGCCUGGACCAUAGAUAGCAUAGAUCUUCCAGAGCCCUGAACCAGCUACCGAUGGUGUGCAUGGCACACAGACCCUUGACCAUGGUAGCACCAGGAACCUGACUCAGUCCCCACUCACCAAGCCAGGCCCCCGUCUGCAGAUGCCUCUGCU